rnacentral:rRNA from 1 species
GAUGAACGCUGGCGGCGUGCCUAAUACAUGCAAGUCGAGCGAACGGACGAGGAGCUUGCUUCUCUGAUGUUAGCGGCGGACGGGUGAGUAACACGUGGAUAACCUACCUAUAAGACUGGGAUAACUUCGGGAAACCGGAGCUAAUACCGGAUAAUAUUUUGAACCGCAUGGUUCAAAAGUGAAAGACGGUCUUGCUGUCACUUAUAGAUGGAUCCGCGCUGCAUUAGCUAGUUGGUAAGGUAACGGCUUACCAAGGCAACGAUGCAUAGCCGACCUGAGAGGGUGAUCGGCCACACUGGAACUGAGACACGGUCCAGACUCCUACGGGAGGCAGCAGUAGGGAAUCUUCCGCAAUGGGCGAAAGCCUGACGGAGCAACGCCGCGUGAGUGAUGAAGGUCUUCGGAUCGUAAAACUCUGUUAUUAGGGAAGAACAUAUGUGUAAGUAACUGUGCACAUCUUGACGGUACCUAAUCAGAAAGCCACGGCUAACUACGUGCCAGCAGCCGCGGUAAUACGUAGGUGGCAAGCGUUAUCCGGAAUUAUUGGGCGUAAAGCGCGCGUAGGCGGUUUUUUAAGUCUGAUGUGAAAGCCCACGGCUCAACCGUGGAGGGUCAUUGGAAACUGGAAAACUUGAGUGCAGAAGAGGAAAGUGGAAUUCCAUGUGUAGCGGUGAAAUGCGCAGAGAUAUGGAGGAACACCAGUGGCGAAGGCGACUUUCUGGUCUGUAACUGACGCUGAUGUGCGAAAGCGUGGGGAUCAAACAGGAUUAGAUACCCUGGUAGUCCACGCCGUAAACGAUGAGUGCUAAGUGUUAGGGGGUUUCCGCCCCUUAGUGCUGCAGCUAACGCAUUAAGCACUCCGCCUGGGGAGUACGACCGCAAGGUUGAAACUCAAAGGAAUUGACGGAGACCCGCACAAGCGGUGGAGCAUGUGGUUUAAUUCGAAGCAACGCGAAGAACCUUACCAAAUCUUGACAUCCUUUGACAACUCUAGAGAUAGAGCCUUCCCCUUCGGGGGACAAAGUGACAGGUGGUGCAUGGUUGUCGUCAGCUCGUGUCGUGAGAUGUUGGGUUAAGUCCCGCAACGAGCGCAACCCUUAAGCUUAGUUGCCAUCAUUAAGUUGGGCACUCUAAGUUGACUGCCGGUGACAAACCGGAGGAAGGUGGGGAUGACGUCAAAUCAUCAUGCCCCUUAUGAUUUGGGCUACACACGUGCUACAAUGGACAAUACAAAGGGCAGCGAAACCGCGAGGUCAAGCAAAUCCCAUAAAGUUGUUCUCAGUUCGGAUUGUAGUCUGCAACUCGACUACAUGAAGCUGGAAUCGCUAGUAAUCGUAGAUCAGCAUGCUACGGUGAAUACGUUCCCGGGUCU